rnacentral:rRNA from 1 species
UAGGGAAUCUUCCACAAUGGACGAAAGUCUGAUGGAGCAACGCCGCGUGAGUGAAGAAGGGUUUCGGCUCGUAAAACUCUGUUGUUAAAGAAGAACAUAUCUGAGAGUAACUGUUCAGGUAUUGACGGUAUUUAACCAGAAAGCCACGGCUAAAUACGNGCCAG